GCGCCUGUAGCUCAGUUGGCAGAGCGGUGGGAGGGUACCCCACGGUCCCGGGAUUAAGUCCAGGCUGUCGCU